GUUCUUGUUUCUUGGUUCUGUGAUUGCUUGUCAUUGUAGACCAGAAAAGCUCUGCAAAGCCAGUUACAAAACCUAGAGUCCUUGAAAGCCCAAUUGGCAGUGACAGAGAGCUAACUGGAAGACUGGGUCAGUGAUGUAAAGGAGUGGGCAGGCGGUGAGGAAAUGAUUACUGUUAAACCUCAAGUUCAGAAUACUUAAAACAUUUAGGUAAACUAAUUUUUCAAGUUCAGAAUCACAGACACCCCAUCACUCCCACAGUUAUCAGCCUUACCCCACUCGUCAUAGUGUUAAUUACAAACAGCUAAUUUACAUAAACAUCACAUUCAGAUCUUGUUUCAAUGUUUGAUGGCAAAUAACACAUGCUAAUAUAACUAUCAAAGAGACUGUCAUUAUAUGUAUAUAAUCAAACAACAUACAGUACAUGUGGUUUCAAAAGUUUAGCAGCCCAUCCUCAACCAAAACACAUGCUCUACUCUUCACCACAGUGGUAACCCUACAAAACUAACUUAACAGAACCUCCUGUAAAUCCCAGAAUAAAUCAAUAUUAAAGAAUAGCCUAUGAUAAUCUGCAAAAACACACAAAAUAACACUUAAUUUCAACAUUUAUUUAUACUGUCUAACACAACGAAUGCAGGAAAUUAGAAAUGUGCUGCAAUUAAACUGCUUACUACAAUUAAAUUUUGAGUUCCAGCUACAGAAGGCCAACAGGAAGUAGAGAAAACACUGUCCAACAGCGACACCAACAGGCCCAAAAGUGAGCGUCAAUCCAAUGUAGCAACAAUGAGUCUUACAGAAUAAUUAACUCAAAUGAUAUAUAGGGAAUUUGAAUAAUUAAUCAGGAAUAUGAUUAAUUUAUAUCUCAGAUGACAGUUACAUUAAAUUUGAUUGAUUAUGAAAAAUAGCUCAAUUGCCUAUAACAAUAAAUAAUCACAGGGCACUGUAACUUACUCAUUAAUAUGUCAAUAUUACAUUCUUCAUAUCAAUUAUUGUGAUAUCUCUUACUGUAAAUUACUGCAAAUCAAACCGUGGUAUGUCCAGCAAAC
rnacentral:lncRNA from 1 species